AAAUUGAAGAGUUUGAUCAUGGCUCAGAUUGAACGCUGGCGGCAGGCCUAACACAUGCAAGUCGAACGGUAACAGGAAGCAGCUUGCUGCUUCGCUGACGAGUGGCGGACGGGUGAGUAAUGUCUGGGAAACUGCCUGAUGGAGGGGGAUAACUACUGGAAACGGUGGCUAAUACCGCAUAACGUCGCAAGACCAAAGAGGGGGACCUUCGGGCCUCUUGCCAUCAGAUGUGCCCAGAUGGGAUUAGCUUGUUGGUGAGGUAACGGCUCACCAAGGCGACGAUCCCUAGCUGGUCUGAGAGGAUGACCAGCCACACUGGAACUGAGACACGGUCCAGACUCCUACGGGAGGCAGCAGUGGGGAAUAUUGCACAAUGGGCGCAAGCCUGAUGCAGCCAUGCCGCGUGUAUGAAGAAGGCCUUAGGGUUGUAAAGUACUUUCAGCGGGGAGGAAGGUGUUGUGGUUAAUAACCGCAGCAAUUGACGUUACCCGCAGAAGAAGCACCGGCUAACUCCGUGCCAGCAGCCGCGGUAAUACGGAGGGUGCAAGCGUUAAUCGGAAUUACUGGGCGUAAAGCGCACGCAGGCGGUCUGUCAAGUCGGAUGUGAAAUCCCCGGGCUCAACCUGGGAACUGCAUUCGAAACUGGCAGGCUUGAGUCUUGUAGAGGGGGGUAGAAUUCCAGGUGUAGCGGUGAAAUGCGUAGAGAUCUGGAGGAAUACCGGUGGCGAAGGCGGCCCCCUGGACAAAGACUGACGCUCAGGUGCGAAAGCGUGGGGAGCAAACAGGAUUAGAUACCCUGGUAGUCCACGCCGUAAACGAUGUCUACUUGGAGGUUGUGCCCUUGAGGCGUGGCUUCCGGAGCUAACGCGUUAAGUAGACCGCCUGGGGAGUACGGCCGCAAGGUUAAAACUCAAAUGAAUUGACGGGGGCCCGCACAAGCGGUGGAGCAUGUGGUUUAAUUCGAUGCAACGCGAAGAACCUUACCUGGUCUUGACAUCCACAGAACUUUCCAGAGAUGGAUUGGUGCCUUCGGGAACUGUGAGACAGGUGCUGCAUGGCUGUCGUCAGCUCGUGUUGUGAAAUGUUGGGUUAAGUCCCGCAACGAGCGCAACCCUUAUCCUUUGUUGCCAGCGGUUAGGCCGGGAACUCAAAGGAGACUGCCAGUGAUAAACUGGAGGAAGGUGGGGAUGACGUCAAGUCAUCAUGGCCCUUACGACCAGGGCUACACACGUGCUACAAUGGCGCAUACAAAGAGAAGCGACCUCGCGAGAGCAAGCGGACCUCAUAAAGUGCGUCGUAGUCCGGAUUGGAGUCUGCAACUCGACUCCAUGAAGUCGGAAUCGCUAGUAAUCGUGGAUCAGAAUGCCACGGUGAAUACGUUCCCGGGCCUUGUACACACCGCCCGUCACACCAUGGGAGUGGGUUGCAAAAGAAGUAGGUAGCUUAACCUUCGGGAGGGCGCUUACCACUUUGUGAUUCAUGACUGGGGUGAAGUCGUAACAAGGUAACCGUAGGGGAACCUGCGGUUGGAUCACCUCCUUACCUUAAAGAAGC
rnacentral:rRNA from 1 species